rnacentral:rRNA from 1 species
AGAGUUUGAUCCUGGCUCAGGAUGAACGCUAGCUACAGGCUUAACACAUGCAAGUCGUGGGGCAGCGGAUGCUUAGCUUGCUAAGUAUGCCGGCGACCGGCGCACGGGUGAGUAACGCGUACCGAACCUGCCCAUCACACAGGGAUAGGCUUGCGAAAGCAAGAUUAAUACCUGAUGGUCUCAAUUUUAUGCAUGUAAGAUUGAGUAAAGCCUUCGGGCGGUGAUGGAUGGCGGUGCGUCCCAUUAGGAAGUUGGCGGGGUAACGGCCCACCAAUCCUUCGAUGGGUAGGGGUUCUGAGAGGAAGGUCCCCCACAUUGGAACUGAGAUACGGUCCAAACUCCUACGGGAGGCAGCAGUGAGGAAUAUUGGUCAAUGGGCGAGAGCCUGAACCAGCCAAGUAGCGUGCGGGAUGAAGGCCCUUGUGGUCGUAAACCGCUUUUAUCAGUGAAUAAAGUGCAUCACGUGUGGUGUCAUUGCAGGUAGCUGAAGAAAAAGGACCGGCUAAUUCCGUGCCAGCAGCCGCGGUAAUACGGAAGGUCCGGGCGUUAUCCGGAAUUAUUGGGUUUAAAGGGAGCGCAGGCGGGAGUGUAAGUCAGCUGUUAAAUAUCAGGGCCCAACUCUGUUAUGCAGUUGAAACUAUAUUUCUUGAGUACGCACAGGGAUGGCGGAAUUCAGGGUGUAGCGGUGAAAUGCUUAGAUAUCCUGAAGAACUCCGAUCGCGAAGGCAGCCAUCCGGAGCGUAACUGACGCUGAGGCUCGAAGGUGCGGGUAUCAAACAGGAUUAGAUACCCUGGUAGUCCGCACGGUAAACGAUGAAUACUCGCAGUUCGGUUAUUAUGGUCGAGCUGUCCAGCGAAAGCGUUAAGUAUUCCACCUGGGGAGUACGCCGGCAACGGUGAAACUCAAAGGAAUUGACGGGGGCCCGCACAAGCGGAGGAACAUGUGGUUUAAUUCGAUGUCAGCUCGUGCCGUGAGGUGUCGGCUUAAGUGCCAUAACGAGCGCAACCCUUUUCUACGUUUGCCAUCGGGUAAUGCCGGGAACUCCGUGGAUACUGCCGCCGCAAGGCGGAGGAAGGUGGGGAUGACGUCAAAUCAGCACGGCCCUUACGUCCGGGGCUACACACGUGUUACAAUGGUCGGAGCAGCAGGAAGCUACCUGGCGACAGGAUGCUGAUCCCGAAACCCGGCCUCAGUUCGGACUGGAGUCUGCAACCCGACUCCACGAAGCCGGAUUCGCUAGUAAUCGCGCAUCAGCCAUGGCGCGGUGAAUACGUUCCCGGGCCUUGUACACACCGCCCGUCAAGCCAUGAAAGCCGGGGGUGCCUGAAAGCCGUACCGGAAGGUGCGGCUGGAACA